rnacentral:lncRNA from 1 species
ACAGGUGGCCGCUUCCGUACACGUUGUCUACGUGCUGUGGUGCUUUAAUACAGCUUUGCAUCUGCAUGCCCUGUCAGUUGUCCACUUGACAAAUUUGCACAGUGUUUGUUUUUCAGAAAUAGCAAAAAUGAGCUGUGCCAUAGUGUGAAUUAAAAUUUAUCCAGUUUGUGACAACUGCUGCUGUGUUUAGUGGUAGCAUUUCCUUAGUUUCUAAUGUCGCCUUUUCCCUCUUCCACGUUCCCCCCCAUGUGUGCGAGCUGCUACGAGCGAAGAGUGGCAAGGCUGUCAUUCACUCGUUUCGAAAUUGUGUCGCUUCUAUCCGCCUCGUCUCUACUAUUCUAUGUACCUACCCUCUCGACUGUUGGCGAUGGUACAAAGGGAAUGUGGAGUACUGGGGAGAGCAGAGAGAAUCCCAUAAAGGAGACAAACCAGGCGAUGCUGCGGAAGAGGAAUGUGGACAGGCCAUUGUCUGCAUAUGCCUGCUUGAACAUCACCUGCAGAGAACAUGUGGGCCACUUGGCCAUGCAGCUACUCAAAUCACACAGCACACAAGAAACGACCAAUUCCUGUAACAUGAUGGUCGUCUUCCACACCCAGCAUGUGUUGAUGUGUGCAGAUGAAAAAUAAGUUCUGGCUGUGAUUCUUGAAAGUCAGCUAACACAGCAUGACUGCCUUCUUGGAAUCCAGCAAGUCAACCAGUUGUGCAGAUUCGCACAAGAGCCAUCGCCUUGUGCCGGCUGUGUUAUAUCAACAGCGCAACGGAAGUCCCUGGCACUGCGACCACCUUUGGCAGCGUCACAUCGCGUGUCCUUCGUGGAUGGCACAAGAGGGCGAGCACCGACAAGCCUUUCCAGUGGGCAGCAGCAUGACAGGCUCGGCAAUCCCUCUCCUUCGUUCUUCAGAUUGGUGAUAACCGACCUUCGCACUGUUUUCAUAUUGGUAGCCCUUAUUUGUUGCUGCUGCCUUGCCCCCUAUGUGUACAAAGUGUUGUCUUAUAUAGUUUCCAAAGCAAAACGUUUAAUACUUUGUGGGGCUAUAGAAACAAACCCUGGUCCUACUCAAAACAAAAUAUGUUACACCUACUUUCUGGACACCAAAAGAUAGUGGAAAAUAUGGCAGUCAUGCAGUCUUCACAGGAAAAGAUAGAAAAGAAGCUGUGUGGUUAGCAAUAGGAAUAGAUGCAAUGGAAGAACAACUAUCUGCACUUUCCACAUUAGGCAACAAGAUUAAGGACUUAGAAGGCAAGAUGUCCUGCUUUGACAAAGAUUUUUUGGUACUCAAAGACAAAGCAGACAACUUAGAAAAUAAGAGCCGCCAAAAUAACCUGAUUCUUUACAGUUUAGAUGAGCCUCAAUAUGAGAUGCACAAAGAACUGGAAAAGAAAUUUAAUGAAGACAUUGUAGGAAAUAUAUUGGGAUUUAUAGCGGCCAGCAUCGAGUGAAUUUACAGGGUAGGCCGCAAUGUUGAUAAGUCACAUCAAAUUGUAAUUGAGUUUCUAGAUUAUCGAGAGAAAACAGGCACCUUAAAGGUCUCUCAUAACUUUAAAGGCACUUCACUGUUUAUUGCUGAGGAUUUUUCAUGACAUGUUCGUGAGCAUCGAGAAAUGCUACGGAAAAGUACCCAUGAAGAAGAGAAAAAGGGGGUAAAGUAAAACUUAUCUACGAUAAGUUAAGCGUAGACGGUGUUAUGUAUGGCUGGGAUGAAGACAAAAAGUGUUGUUUUAACCUGAAAAGUGCUCUUUGAAAUUGACAAGUGAACAGUGAACAUCGAUCCCUGAAACUUCUA